rnacentral:rRNA from 1 species
UGUGAGCUCGAUGAGUAGGGCGGGACACGUGGUAUCCUGUCUGAAUAUGGGGGGACCAUCCUCCAAGGCUAAAUACUCCUGACUGACCGAUAGUGAACCAGUACCGUGAGGGAAAGGCGAAAAGAACCCCGGCGAGGGGAGUGAAAAAGAACCUGAAACCGUGUACGUACAAGCAGUGGGAGCACGCUUAGGCGUGUGACUGCGUACCUUUUGUAUAAUGGGUCAGCGACUUAUAUUCUGUAGCAAGGUUAACCGAAUAGGGGAGCCGAAGGGAAACCGAGUCUUAACUGGGCGUUAAGUUGCAGGGUAUAGACCCGAAACCCGGUGAUCUAGCCAUGGGCAGGUUGAAGGUUGGGUAACACUAACUGGAGGACCGAACCGACUAAUGUUGAAAAAUUAGCGGAUGACUUGUGGCUGGGGGUGAAAGGCCAAUCAAACCGGGAGAUAGCUGGUUCUCCCCGAAAGCUAUUUAGGUAGCGCCUCGUGAAUUCAUCUCCGGGGGUAGAGCACUGUUUCGGCAAGGGGGUCAUCCCGACUUACCAACCCGAUGCAAACUGCGAAUACCGGAGAAUGUUAUCACGGGAGACACACGGCGGGUGCUAACGUCCGUCGUGAAGAGGGAAACAACCCAGACCGCCAGCUAAGGUCCCAAAGUCAUGGUUAAGUGGGAAACGAUGUGGGAAGGCCCAGACAGCCAGGAUGUUGGCUUAGAAGCAGCCAUCAUUUAAAGAAAGCGUAAUAGCUCACUGGUCGAGUCGGCCUGCGCGGAAGAUGUAACGGGGCUAAACCAUGCACCGAAGCUGCGGCAGCGACGCUGAUGCGUUGUUGGGUAGGGGAGCGUUCUGUAAGCCUGUGAAGGUGUACUGUGAGGUAUGCUGGAGGUAUCAGAAGUGCGAAUGCUGACAUAAGUAACGAUAAAGCGGGUGAAAAGCCCGCUCGCCGGAAGACCAAGGGUUCCUGUCCAACGUUAAUCGGGGCAGGGUGAGUCGACCCCUAAGGCGAGGCCGAAAGGCGUAGUCGAUGGGAAACAGGUUAAUAUUCCUGUACUUGGUGUUACUGCGAAGGGGGGACGGAGAAGGCUAUGUUGGCCGGGCGACGGUUGUCCCGGUUUAAGCGUGUAGGCUGGUUUUCCAGGCAAAUCCGGAAAACUAAGGCUGAGGCGUGAUGACGAGGCACUACGGUGCUGAAGCAACAAAUGCCCUGCUUCCAGGAAAAGCCUCUAAGCAUCAGGUAACAUCAAAUCGUACCCCAAACCGACACAGGUGGUCAGGUAGAGAAUACCAAGGCGCUUGAGAGAACUCGGGUGAAGGAACUAGGCAAAAUGGUGCCGUAACUUCGGGAGAAGGCACGCUGAUAUGUAGGUGAAGUCCCUCGCGGAUGGAGCUGAAAUCAGUCGAAGAUACCAGCUGGCUGCAACUGUUUAUUAAAAACACAGCACUGUGCAAACACGAAAGUGGACGUAUACGGUGUGACGCCUGCCCGGUGCCGGAAGGUUAAUUGAUGGGGUUAGCGCAAGCGAAGCUCUUGAUCGAAGCCCCGGUAAACGGCGGCCGUAACUAUAACGGUCCUAAGGUAGCGAAAUUCCUUGUCGGGUAAGUUCCGACCUGCACGAAUGGCGUAAUGAUGGCCAGGCUGUCUCCACCCGAGACUCAGUGAAAUUGAACUCGCUGUGAAGAUGCAGUGUACCCGCGGCAAGACGGAAAGACCCCGUGAACCUUUACUAUAGCUUGACACUGAACAUUGAGCCUUGAUGUGUAGGAUAGGUGGGAGGCUUUGAAGUGUGGACGCCAGUCUGCAUGGAGCCGACCUUGAAAUACCACCCUUUAAUGUUUGAUGUUCUAACGUUGACCCGUAAUCCGGGUUGCGGACAGUGUCUGGUGGGUAGUUUGACUGGGGCGGUCUCCUCCUAAAGAGUAACGGAGGAGCACGAAGGUUGGCUAAUCCUGGUCGGACAUCAGGAGGUUAGUGCAAUGGCAUAAGCCAGCUUGACUGCGAGCGUGACGGCGCGAGCAGGUGCGAAAGCAGGUCAUAGUGAUCCGGUGGUUCUGAAUGGAAGGGCCAUCGCUCAACGGAUAAAAGGUACUCCGGGGAUAACAGGCUGAUACCGCCCAAGAGUUCAUAUCGACGGCGGUGUUUGGCACCUCGAUGUCGGCUCAUCACAUCCUGGGGCUGAAGUAGGUCCCAAGGGUAUGGCUGUUCGCCAUUUAAAGUGGUACGCGAGCUGGGUUUAGAACGUCGUGAGACAGUUCGGUCCCUAUCUGCCGUGGGCGCUGGAGAACUGAGGGGGGCUGCUCCUAGUACGAGAGGACCGGAGUGGACGCAUCACUGGUGUUCGGGUUGUCAUGCCAAUGGCACUGCCCGGUAGCUAAAUGCGGAAGAGAUAAGUGCUGAAAGCAUCUAAGCACGAAACUUGCCCCGAGAUGAGUUCUCCCUGACUCCUUGAGAGUCCUGAAGGAACGUUGAAGACGACGACGUUGAUAGGCCGGGUGUGUAAGCGCAGCGAUGCGUUGAGCUAACCGGUACUAAUGAACCGUGAGGCUUAACCUU